rnacentral:rRNA from 1 species
CGGCGUGCUUAACACAUGCAAGUCGAACGAAGCACUUUAUUUGAUUUCCUUCGGGACUGAUUAUUUUGUGACUGAGUGGCGGACGGGUGAGUAACGCGUGGGUAACCUGCCUUGUACAGGGGGAUAACAGUUGGAAACGGCUGCUAAUACCGCAUAAGCGCACGGCAUCGCAUGAUGCAGUGUGAAAAACUCCGGUGGUAUAAGAUGGACCCGCGUUGGAUUAGCUAGUUGGUGAGGUAACGGCCCACCAAGGCGACGAUCCAUAGCCGACCUGAGAGGGUGACCGGCCACAUUGGGACUGAGACACGGCCCAAACUCCUACGGGAGGCAGCAGUGGGGAAUAUUGCACAAUGGGCGAAAGCCUGAUGCAGCGACGCCGCGUGAGCGAAGAAGUAUUUCGGUAUGUAAAGCUCUAUCAGCAGGGAAGAUAAUGACGGUACCUGACCAAGAAGCACCGGCUAAAUACGUGCCAGCAGCCGCGGUAAUACGUAUGGUGCAAGCGUUAUCCGGAUUUACUGGGUGUAAAGGGAGCGCAGGCGGUGCGGCAAGUCUGAUGUGAAAGCCCGGGGCUCAACCCCGGUACUGCAUUGGAAACUGUCGUACUAGAGUGUCGGAGGGGUAAGCGGAAUUCCUAGUGUAGCGGUGAAAUGCGUAGAUAUUAGGAGGAACACCAGUGGCGAAGGCGGCUUACUGGACGAUAACUG